GUGCCAGCAGCCGCGGUAAUACAGAGGUCUCAAGCGUUGUUCGGAUUCAUUGGGCGUAAAGGGCGCGUAGGCGGCGGGGUAAGUCGGGUGUGAAAUCUCAGGGCUCAACCCUGAAACUGCACUCGAUACUGCUCUGCUUGAGGACUGGAGAGGAGACUGGAAUUCACGGUGUAGCAGUGAAAUGCGUAGAUAUCGUGAGGAAGACCAGUGGCGAAGGCGGGUCUCUGGACAGUUCCUGACGCUGAGGCGCGAAGGCCAGGGGAGCAAACGGGAUUAGAUACCCCGGUAGUCC
rnacentral:rRNA from 1 species